GCUCAGGUUGCCGAAUCCGGUUAAGGCCACCGCCUGCAGAGCGGUUGAUUGUGGGUUCAAAUCCCACCCUGAGCU
rnacentral:tRNA from 1 species